UCUUGGCUCGAUCAGCUGUGGUCCUGCUGCACGCAGACGCAGCUGCUCAAACUCGAGCCGCCGCCUGCGCUGCAUCCUUCCUCCCCAUCUCUUUGCGUCAUCAGCUCCUUCUUCUUCUUCUUCUCUUCUGUCUGGCUGUCUGUCACCACUCACCACCACUUCCUCCUCCGAUCCGAUCCCUUCGGUUCUGCUUCUUCACUACUGCUACUUGUUUGUUACUUUUUUUUCUGCUUCUUUUCCCUCCGUCCUCCCCCCUCUUUCUCUUGCGCGUCUCUCUCCAGAGAAAGAGAGAGAGAGAGGUGGACUGGAGGCUAGGCUACUGUUACUGUAUGUGCCAGCCCAUGCCGA
rnacentral:misc_RNA from 1 species